GUUUGGAAAGGUUUGACUGGAACUCGCAUUAGUCUACUCGUCAGUCUUUUAAGGGAACAGAAUCCGAUGACUGAGGCUUUAGUUUUUUUUCCGUAAAGGUUUCAUAAUCUCCACGCUCGGGAGACCGAGGUGGCCCGGGCUACUUAGCUAGGCCACCGGAGCAAGGAGUACAGUGGAGAGGGCCUUGGAUAUUGUGAAGGACUGGAAGGCAGGGAAGGGAUUCCAGGAAGAAAGGGAAGUGACAGAACUCAUGUUUUGAAAAGAGCACUCGGGUCCUCGGUGGAAAAAUCCGUUCAGAAAGAAAACUGACUGCACAGUCACCGUGGCUGACUCAGACUUGCUGGGUUUGAUGACCAGGAAAACGAAUCCUCAGCCUGCCACCUUUCAAGUGAGAUGGCUCUGUGGACAAAAGCACUAACCUGAUGACCAGACUUCAAUCCCCAGAACCCACAGAAAACCAGAAG